UAUGUCUCAGUUAUUGAAUCUUAUGUUCAUACAAAUAUUUACACAUGUUAAGUCUGCUGAAAAUAAAUAGUGAGUGACAGUGAGAGGAUGUUUAUUUUUGUUUUGCUGAUUUUAUAAGCAGCAAGCUAAACUUCACAGCACUAACUACCUGUGCUUCUAUUCAUUUAGCCACAUGUUUUUUCCAGAUGCACGGCGCCACUAUAAAGGUACUAGGUAUCAAGGUUCAACUUGUGUGUUGUUACGUUUUGAUUUUUACCGUUUUGGUCAAAUCAAAUGUGGUUAGCAGAUGUUAUUGGUCACAUACACAUGGUUAGCAGAUGUUAAUGCGUGUAGCGAAAUGCUUGUGCUUCUAGUUCCGACAAUGCAGUAAUAACCAACGAGUAAUCUAACCUAACAAUUCCAAAACUACUACCUUAUACACACACAAGUGUAAAGGGAUAAAGAAUAUGUACAUAAAGAUAUAUGAAUGAGUGAUGGUACAGAACGGCAUAGGCAAGAUGCAGUAGAUGGUAGAGUACAGUAUAUACUUAUCAAGGCACCGUCAUCUUACCUACCUUCCUGAGAUAAUGACAUUAGUGUGUCUGUCUUUAUACUUGACCGUAGAACGAGAGAGAGUAACAUGUUGAUACAUGAAUCCAGGGUGCUGUACAACACUGUUCCAGUAGGUGGCGCUGUACAACACUGUUCCAGUAGGUGGCGCUGUACAACACUGUUCCAGUAGGUGGAGCUGUACAACACUGUUCCAGUAGGUGGAGCUGUACAACACUGUUCCAGUAGGUGGUGCUGUACAACACUGUUCCAGUAGGUGGAGCUGUACAACACUGUUCCAGUAGGUGGCGCUGUACAACACUGUUCCAGUAGGUGGUGCUGUACAACACUGUUCCAGUAGGUGGAGCUGUACAACACUGUUCCAGUAGGUGGCGCUGUACAACACUGUUCCAGUAGGUGGCGCUGUACAACACUGUUCCAGUAGGUGGAGCUGUACAACACUGUUCCAGUAGGUGGCGCUGUACAACACUGUUCCAGUAGGUGGCGCUGUACAAC